AGCAGCGUGGCUCAGUGGAAAGAGCAUGGGCUUUGGAGCCAGAGGUCAUGAGUUUGAAUCCCAGCUCUGCCA
rfam:Ornithorhynchus anatinus chromosome 6, whole genome shotgun sequence.